rnacentral:lncRNA from 1 species
CUUAUAUCAGCCUAUAUUGGCUUAUAUCAGCCUAUAUCAGCUUAUAUCAGGCUACACCAGCUUAUAUCAGGCUACAUCAGCUUAUAUCAUCUUAUAUCAGCCUAUAUCGGCUUAUAUCAGCCUAUAUCAGCCUAUAUCAGCCUAUAUCAGCUUAUAUCAGGCUACACCAGCUUAUAUCAGGCUACAUCAGCUUAUAUCAUCUUAUAUCAGCCUAUAUCGGCUUAUAUCAGCCUAUAUCAGCCUAUAUCAGCCUAUAUCAGCUUAUAUCAUCUUAUAUCAUCUUAUAUCAGCCUAUAUCAGCUUAUAUCAUCUUAUAUCAGGCUACAACAGCUUAUAUCAGGCUACAUCAGCUUAUAUCAGCCUAUAUCAGCCUAUAUCAGCCUAUAUCAUCUUAUAUCAGGCUACAUCAGCCUAUAUCAGCCUAUAUCAGCUUAUAUCAGCCUAUAUCAGCUUAUAUCAGCUUAUAUCAGGCUAUAUCAGCCUAUAUCAGCUUAUAUCAUCUUAUAUCAGCCUAUAUCGACUUAUAUCAGGCUACAUCAGCUUAUAUCAGGCUACACCAGCUUAUAUCAAGCUACAUCAGUUUAUAUCAGCCUAUAUCAGCCUAUAUCAGCUUAUAUCAGCCUAUAUCAGCUUAUAUCAGGCUACAUCAGCCUAUAUCAGCCUAUAUCAGCCUAUAUCAGCCUAUAUCAGCUUAUAUCAGGCUACAUCAGCCUAUAUCAGCCUAUAUCAGCUUAUAUCAGCCUAUAUCAGCUUAUAUCAGCCUAUAUCAGCUUAUAUCAGGCUACAUCAGUUUAUAUCAGCCUAUAUCAGCUUAUAUCAGCCUAUAUCAGCUUAUAUCAGCCUAUAUCAGCUUAUAUCAGGCUACAUCAGCCUAUAUCAGCUUAUAUCAGCCUAUAUCAGCCUAUAUCAGCUUAUAUCAGCCUAUAUCAGCUUAUAUCAGCCUAUAUCAGCCUAUAUCAGCUUAUAUCAGCCUUUAUCAGCCUAUAUCAUCUUAUAUCAGCCUAUAUCAGCCUAUAUCAGCUUAUAUCAGCCUUUAUCAGCCUAUAUCAGCCUAUAUCAUCUUAUAUCAGGCUACAUCAGCCUAUAUCAGCCUAUAUCAUCUUAUAUCAGCCUAUAUCAGCCUAUAUCAGCUUAUAUCAGCCUAUAUCAGCCUAUAUCAGCUUAUAUCAGCCUUUAUCAGCCUAUAUCAGCUUAUAUCAGGCUACAUCAGCCUAUAUCAGCUUAUAUCAGCCUAUAUCAGCCUAUAUCAGCCUAUAUCAGCUUAUAUCAGCCUUUAUCAGCCUAUAUCAUCUUAGAGGUGAUCCCAACAUAAGUUACCCUCCAUAUUCUUUCUCACAUCUCUGUGUUGUGAGUGUUUGUGCAGAUGCACAGAUCAUCCGUCAGGGUUGCACACGUGCACGCGGGCACACAUUUCAGCACCUGGCAGUGUUGCAGGAUGAGGUAACUCACCCAGACUGA